UGCUCGUCUCUGGCUCAGUGCAUUGCCACAUCUCCUGGUGUAUACCAGUGCCAAUGCUACAAGGGUUUAAUCGAUGAAAAUCCCUCAAAUCCAGGAAGGUUAUGCAAAGAUUCCGUAGGCUGCUUCCGUGAAAGAACUGAUCUGUGCUCAUCAAGAAAUACAUGCCUUAAGUCAAAGUCUGUCUGCUCCCUUGGGAAUGUGUUCAAGUCAUCAGUGGAGUUGAAAUCAUGGGUGUUCACUCCAGCUCUGUACGACCCUGC